rnacentral:misc_RNA from 1 species
AUGAAUACUCCAAAGUACAUGUAUUAGGAACUCUUUGGUCCAGUUCAACGAAAUUUUAUUACACCCUACGAACCAAUUUAUGCAAAGGUGUUUGACCAGGCACAGGCAGAGAGUUUAAGAAUGAAUGGAAGAUUUUCUUACUUGAGGUUUAAAAUAAACCACAGACAUUUGCUGACGCUAUAAUUCAUCUCAUUAAGGAUAAAUGAGAAGUUUAAAGUUAACUUGUUACUAAACAUAGAUAGGUGUCAUUCUUUGUGGCACUGGCUAUGAAGGAAAAAGUGCCACAUAAAUUGGGAUGGAGGAAGUAAUAACUAGGGAUUGUAAAUUCAAGAAAAUUA